CCAAAUUUUUUUUUUUUUUGAAAAUCCUGACCCUCAGGGUCUGUCAGAUCUACCACAAAUACAGAAAAUCCACUGUUCACACGAACUGAGUCUCCCCUGUAUUUGCACGGCAUUGCAUAAGUACAAGAUACAAGAUUUACCGUAUAGGAUAUAACCACACAUAUGCACAUAUACAUAAUCAAACACCAUUCACAAUCAUAUUCAGAAUCAGAGCUAUUCAUAAAUUCACAACUAUUAGUUUAAAAUGUUUCCCACCCGGAAACUCGUUUUAAAACACUAAAUCAUGAAAACCAAGAAAAUCUUUUAAAAACUGUUUCCCACACGGAAACCUUUUCCUUUUAAAACUCGCUACCACGAGGGGUAGAAAAACCAAUUCCAUUUCACAAAAAUCCACAAAUCCUUUAUUACAUUCAUAAACCCGUAUGAAUUCAAAAAUAAUAAGUCACUGAACCAAUUAACUAUCUAAGUCAAUUAUUUUAAGAAGCUGAGUUUGAGAAUUAACCAAACAACGGGACGGUGGCACUGUCGAUCG
rnacentral:lncRNA from 1 species